UACAGAGGUCUCAAGCGUUGUUCGGAUUCAUUGGGCGUAAAGGGUGCGUAGGCGGCGCGGUAAGUCGGGUGUGAAAUUUCGAGGCUUAACUUCGAAACUGCAUUCGAUACUGCCGUGCUUGAGGACUGGAGAGGAGACUGGAAUUUACGGUGUAGCGGUGAAAUGCGUAGAUAUCGGAAGGAAGACCAGUGGCGAAGGCGGGUCUCUGGACAGUUCCUGACGCUGAGGCACGAAGGCCAGGGGAGCAAACGGG
rnacentral:rRNA from 1 species